ACACGAAACGAACCUAUACAUUAUCUACCCCAUGCUCUGUAAACUGUUUAUUUUACACUUUUGAUAGUUUGGAUAAAUGUUUUACAUUGUUAUAAAUCAAAUAUGAGAACUUGAGUCAAAUCGGUGACCAUGAAUUUGACAGCUAGUGGGCCUUUAAGAGUAAUUGUUUAAUCACAAAUAAUUUUUUUUUGGUCACAAAUGUAAUUUAUUUUAUAUCACAAAUGUAAUUGGUUGAUCACAAAUGUAAUUGUUUGAUCACAAGUGUAAUUGUUUGUUCACAAAUGUUAUUGAGUUAUUGACUAUUACUUGUGUCUAAAAUAAUGUUGAUGACUUUUGUUUGUUUUUAGUGUUAUUUGAAAUGAUUGACUGGUGUGGAUGUAAACAUCUACUAUGAGUUAAUAAGUGAUGGAUAAAGUAGGGGCUUUUGAAACUUAUACAGAAAUAGACUUCACCACUGCAUCAAGUGUGCCACUAUAAGUUUCCACUGAAGACAUUUCAAUAUUCAAAAAUGAAAUAUAAUGCUGAUAGAGUAUUAAAAAAUUUGAUACCACAAUAGUAAAGUUAGAGUAAGGCAUUAUAAUUUGAGAGCAGAACUUUGGUCUAGAGUAUUUAGACUGGAUUGUCAUUUCAGAAGACUGAU
rnacentral:lncRNA from 1 species